rnacentral:rRNA from 1 species
GGACUACCAGGGUAUCUAAUCCCGUUUGCUCCCCUAGCUUUCGCGCCUCAGCGUCAGAAAAGAUCCAGUCGCGCGCUUUCGCCACCGGCGUUCCUGCCAAUAUCAACGCAUUUCACCGCUCCACUGGCAGUUCCCGCGACCCCUACCUCCCUCGAGCUCGCCAGUAUCCACGGCAAUUUUCCGGUUGAGCCGAAAGAUUUCACCGCAGACUUGACAAGCCGCCUACGCGCCCUUUAAGCCCAGUGAAUCCGAACAACGUUCGCACGGUUCGUCUUACCGCGGCUGCUGGCAC